rnacentral:rRNA from 1 species
UGAGGAAUAUUGGUCAAUGGGCGAGAGCCUGAACCAGCCAAGUAGCGUGCAGGAUGACGGCCCUAUGGGUUGUAAACUGCUUUUAUGUGGGGAUAAAGUGCGUGACGUGUCAUGCAUUGCAGGUACCACAUGAAUAAGGACCGGCUAAUUCCGUGCCAGCAGCCGCGGUAAUACGGAAGGUCCGGGCGUUAUCCGGAUUUAUUGGGUUUAAAGGGAGCGUAGGCUGUCUAUUAAGCGUGUUGUGAAAUUUACCGGCUCAACCGGUGGCUUGCAGCGCGAACUGGUCGACUUGAGUAUGCAUGAAGUAGGCGGAAUUCAUGGUGUAGCGGUGAAAUGCUUAGAUAUCAUGACGAACUCCGAUUGCGCAGGCAGCUUACUGUAGCAUAACUGACGCUGAUGCUCGAAAGUGCGGGUAUCAAACAGG